rnacentral:rRNA from 1 species
AAAUUGAAGAGUUUGAUCAUGGCUCAGAUUGAACGCUGGCGGCAGGCCUAACACAUGCAAGUCGAACGGUAACAGGAAGCAGCUUGCUGCUUUGCUGACGAGUGGCGGACGGGUGAGUAAUGUCUGGGAAGCUGCCUGAUGGAGGGGGAUAACUACUGGAAACGGUGGCUAAUACCGCAUAACGUCGCAAGACCAAAGAGGGGGACCUUCGGGCCUCUUGCCAUCAGAUGUGCCCAGAUGG